rnacentral:rRNA from 1 species
GACGAACGCUGGCGGCGUGCUUAACACAUGCAAGUCGAACGGAAAGGCCCCCAUCUUGGUGGGGGUGCUCGAGUGGCGAACGGGUGAGUAACACGUGGGUGAUCUGCCCUGUACUUCGGGAUAAGCUUGGGAAACUGGGUCUAAUACCGGAUAGGACCAUGGUUUAGUGUCUCAUGGUGGAAAGAUUAUUGUUUUGGUGCAGGAUGAGCUCGCGGCCUAUCAGCUUGUUGGUGGGGUAAUGGCCUACCAAGGCGUCGACGGGUAGCCGGCCUGAGAGGGUGGGCCGCCCAGUGGGGGAGAGAGGCCCGACCCGCCUCCUGACGGGGGAAGGGGGGGGGAAAUAUUAAAGAGGGGGCGCAGGCUGGAGGCAGCGCGCGCGGGUGGGGGAGGCCGCCUUGGGGUUUAAAACUCCUUUGUGUGAGGAAAAAGGCCCCCUUUUUUUUGGGUGGGGGGGGGGUACUUUUGUAAAGAAGCCCCGGCUAACUACGUG